ACUCUGGUGAUUGGCUAAGGAAUAACAGUAUGGAGUCAGCUCUGCCUUCUCUUCCUGCCAAUCUGGCUCACCUCAGGACCAGGUGCAAAUUUCACGGGAGCAUCUAGCCUCUGAAAAACUCUUCAUAGUCGCUGCCAUUCUUUCCAGGAAAGAGAAGAAUGUGCAGUGAUGGACGACGUGUAUUUUUGUUGGUGUAUUUCUGCAUAUGUGUUUUGUUUACUCUCUUUUUUUUCCUUUUUUCUUUUUUUAAUUUGCUUUUCACCAAACUGGAGUGAGGGCUUGUGCUAGGUUUUGGACUCUGAUCUGCCUUUGAAGACUCUUCCAAAUGCAAAGACUUCAUGUUCCUUGUUUAUUAUGGAAAAAUAAACAAUGAAGAACUAGUGGAUGCUCUACCCAUAAUGGAAUAAACCAAGAAGGAGCAAGACUAAAGAUCAGAAAGCAGGUAAUCCAAAUCGAGAGAGACAAAAGAAAUGACCAGGAGGUACAGAGGGUCCAAGAUUAUAGUUGAGAAGAAGCUUUCAAACAGAGGAGAGCCAUUUCAGAUUGGACAAAAGCACCCCCUGCCCCCACCACCGGAAGGAUGCUUCCAGGGGAAAGACAGAUGAAGAAGAAAUGGAGAGAUUACCAGGAAAACUAAGGCUAACACAGUCACCGUUGGGCCAUUCUCUGCUUACACUGUAAGAAGUGGAAUUACCAGGGCACAAGCUGCACUGCUCAUAGCUGGCAUACUUCUCUAUGGAAUGCUGAGAAAAGGGAGAUAUGCAUUGCUUCUUGCCAACCUUUGCAAGCAAACUGAGAAAACUACGGGAGGCCCUCUUUAUUCAGGAUUCAGCUUAAUUUCUGUUGAGCCUGGAAAAGGGCUUGAUCCCUGAUGGCUUACACAAAGCAUGGAGAUGCACACUUGACUAUACACAGCUGCAGUAUCAUUUGGGUUCACAAGCUUGUCUUCUACACAAGAAAAUCUGCAUCCUUCAUACCAUCAUGUUAAGAAGUGUAAUUUGUGUUCCGGCCAGGGCAAUUAGGCAGGAGAAGGA
ensembl:lncRNA novel transcript